GUCCACGCCCUAAACGAUGCACACUAGUUGUUGUGAGGCUAGACCUUGCAGUAAUGCAGUUAACACAUUAAGUGUGCCGCCUGGGGAGUACGGUCGCAAGAUUAAAACUCAAAGGAAUAGACGGGGACCCCGCACAAGCGGUGGAGCAUGUGGUUUAAUUCGACGAUACACGAAGAACCUUACCUGGACUUGACAUAGUAAGAACUUUCUAGAGAUAGAUUGGUGUCUGCUUGCAGAAACUUAUAUACAGGUGCUGCACGGCUGUCGU
rnacentral:rRNA from 1 species